rnacentral:rRNA from 1 species
UAACGCGUGGGGAACCUGCCCUAUACAGGGGAGUAACAGCUGGAAACGGUUGCUAAUACCGCAUAAGCGCACAGAAUCGCAUGAUUCAGUGUGAAAAGCCCUGGCAGUAUAGGAUGGUCCCGCGUCUGAUUAGCUGGUUGGUGAGGUAACGGCUCACCAAGGCGACGAUCAGUAGCCGGCUUGAGAGAGUGAACGGCCACAUUGGGACUGAGACACGGCCCAA